UUUGUUACAAAAUAGAACAGUAUCAUUCAGUUGGAAGGGACUUUGAAAGAUAAUGUACUCUAACUAUUUUCUCAGGAAAUCUUAAAUAAUCAAGACCCACAAACUUCAUACACAAACCUCUGUCUCAUUAGCCUCAGGUCCUAUAAAUAACUGUCAGAUGUUGAAACAUUCACACAAAAGAGGCCACACAGUUGUUGCAGAUGAGUAUCAGCAAUCAGGGAAAGAAGAGUUCUCCAUAAGGCUUCCCCAUACUUCUCUCUGUCUAGAUGAAAGAAUGACAUUGACACUAAUGUCGAGCACUACCUGUUGCAGAAGUAUGAUAACUUCAAGCUUAUCCACAGUGCCUCGCAGAUAUCAAUUCUGA
rnacentral:lncRNA from 1 species